rnacentral:lncRNA from 1 species
CGGGGCGGCCACAGGGCAGGCCCCGCACCGGCCCCCAACUCUGCACCGGCCCCGAACCACGCACCGCGCCCGGGCCGCGGGGCACGGCCGGCAUCACCCCUAGGAGUGAUCCUGGAAAGCGUUCCCUGAGAUUUCGGGGGCAGAGACAGAGAGGGAGAGAGGGAAGGAGUCCGCAAUCCGUGUAAAGCACUCCAAGAGGGUGGUGCCAGGCUCUGUCCAGCGACAGGACAAGGAGCACCGCCCAUAAACCACAACACAAGAAGUUUCACAUCAACACGAGGAAGAACUUCUUUCCGUGAGGGUGGCAGAGCCCUGGGAGGGUGUGGACUCUCUCUCUCUCUCUCUGGAGACAUCCCAAACCCACCUGGACAUCCUCCCGUGUCACCUGCUCCAGGUGACCCUGCCUUGGACUGGGUGAUCUCCAGAAGCCCUUCCAGAAUCUGUGGAUGGCCAUCCCUGUGUCCCUGAGCCCCAGCCUGGGCUCACAAGGCGGUUGUGCCCAGUGAAAUCCAAAAAGCUCCAUGAAGAACCAGGGCUUCAUUUGCAUCAAUAUUAUGGCACACAAUAAAUAAAUUCUAUUUCCCAGAAUGGAUACAUUUGGUCUGGGAAGGGAGGAAAUGCCAGUGUUUCCAGGUGGACAUCGCAGGGCAGGUACCCCGUGGGGCCAGACACCUCCCUGGGGCCGAGGCUGGCGCGGUGACAACACAAACCAUACUCACGCUCACUCUCCGUGUCCUCACGGGGACCCAGGUACAGCCAGGUGCAUCAGGACCGGCCCUCCUUCGGGCUCCAUUCCCCUUCCAAAAGGAAACCUCCUCAACAAAGGAGCAGGAAGGACACUGCUGACCCAUUCUGAUGGAUUGUGUGGCAGAAAUCAGAUUCCUGAUGGAUGCUUAUUCAGAAACAACCAUAUCUAGGAAAUGUCUUUAAUCUCCUUUGAGGUGAGACAAAAUGCCCAGUCUGGUUCAGGUGCAGGUGAAGCAUUUGGGGCACAAAUGAUGUUGUCUCCUUUUAAAUGCAAGAUAAGAGCACAGGACCUCAGGACAAAUCUCUUGCAUCAUAUCAAAAACCUUUUUAGUCCUGGCUGACUUUUUGGUGGGUGUUUUGUGUUAGAGCGCAGGAGAAACUCACAGAGUGAUCCCCACAGCUGGAAUUCCAGCAGUCAGUAUUUGAGAUGAUAGAAAUGCUUCAUUUAUCAUGCUUUAGUGCACCAAGGAUGGGCUGUGGGAUUUGAGUUUCCUGACAGUAUCAAAGGGUUGCUGAGUGGAAUUUCCAGUUAUGAAACCUUAAUUAGCAUUACUCCUCAGUGUUCAUCACUAUCAAUAACUGACUUUGAUCUCUAUAUUUUCCAAUGAAAAAUACAUAUCUCAUACAUUUAAUUAUAAAAUAAUAAUAAUAUAUUUUACACUCACAAGGACAUUUUGCUUCAUUUUGCCUCCUACUCUU